rnacentral:siRNA from 1 species
UAAUCUCAGAUUGGUUACCC